rnacentral:rRNA from 1 species
GUACACAACCUUCCUUUGGGUGGAGAAUACCCCCUAUAAAUUUGGAUUAAUACCCCGUAACACAACGAAGUGGCAUCACUUUGUUGUUAUAGUUUCGGCGCUUAAUGAUGGGUGUGCGUAUGAUUAGAUAGUUGGCGAGGUAACGGCUCACCAAGUCUACGAUCAUUAGCUGAUGUGAGAGCAUGAUCAGCCACACGGGCACUGAGACACGGGCCCGACUCCUACGGGAGGCAGCAGUAAGGAAUAUUGGUCAAUGGACGCAAGUCUGAACCAGCCAUGCCGCGUGAAUGAUUAAGGUCCUCUGGAUUGUAAACUUCUUUUAUAUGGGACGAAAAAAGGUCUUUCUAGACCCCUUGACGGUACCAUAUGAAUAAGCACCGGCUAACUCCGUGCCAGCAGCCGCGGUAAUACGGAGGGUGCAAGCGUUAUCCGGAUUCACUGGGUUUAAAGGGUGCGUAGGCGGGUAGGUAAGUCAGUGGUGAAAUCCUGGAGCUCAACUCCAGAACUGCCAUUGAUACUAUCUAUCUUGAAUAUUGUGGAGGUAAGCGGAAUAUGUCAUGUAGCGGUGAAAUGCUUAGAUAUGACAUAGAACACCCAUUGCGAAGGCAGCUUACUACGCAUAUAUUGACGCUGAGCACGAAAGCGUGGGAUCAGACAGGAUUAUAUACCCUGGUAGUCCACGCCCUAAACUAUGGAUACUCGACAUAUGCGAUACACUGUAUGUGUCUGAGCGAAAGCAUUAUGUAUCCCACCUGGGAAGUACGUUCGCUAGGAUGAAACUCA